CUAUUUUUUUGCUAGCACCACAGACCUUCAAGAUUCAUAAACUAUGAAUGCAAACAACAGAUCAUUAAAAGUAUACUUUGUGCUAGUGAUUUCUUCUCAUCACUUCAACAGAGAAAAAGAACAUUCUAGAAUCCUAACAAUGGUGACAAGGGGUGUGGACACAGCGUUGUUAGGAGGGGGAGACACCAGAGCACCAACUUCUCUCACUUAAACCUUAUGACAACCUUAAGAAGUAGGCAGCAUGAUCCCCUUCUUGGAAAUGCAGAAAGAGAGAAUGGGGGAGAUUGAGAGGCUUGCAGAAUGUGACAUCAUUAGGGAGAACAGUGGUUGAGGUCCAGCAGCUCCUGCAGAUGGGUGGUGGUGGAAGGAGGAGAGAAUGGGCCACAGGCAGGCCAAGGGCAAGCUUAGCAGCACUCAACAUCCUCCAUGAACUCAACAGAAGUCAAGAAUGCAGGCAGCUCAUGAUGAAGACCUGCAGCGGCCCAGGUUUACCAAGCUCAUUCACAAUUGCAGUUGGAGAAUUCGUCUUUGGUCAUUUUCUACUUUGGAAAUACGCUGGUAUGUGGCAACGACCUGACUUCAACCAGGAAGACAAGGUUGAUGACCUAAGGAAUAGCACUGUAGCAAAUGGAAGGAUCCCUGAGUGACUGUGUGGAGCAGAGCCCUCCUACCAGCCUGGACUAGCCAACAUAAGAUUAAGAUAUUUUUUACAUAAAGCAUACUGCAUGGGUGUCCUACUGGUGAUGGAAAAAGAAAUGAAAGCAUCUCUCAAAAGGGUCAAACCAAGGCCAGGUUUUAUUUGGUGUUUGAGAAAACCUGGAUUAUUUGGGUCAGGAGAAAAUUUUGGACUUCCUGCUAAUCACAGGAUUUCAACAGCAAGCGUCUUCAAAUCAUGUGUGACAUCCCCUGGCUGAUAAGAGCCUUCCCACCUCAUCUCAAGGAAGGCAACACCUUUCAUAACUACUAGAAUGACUACACUUGCCUCACUAAAUUGUAGUUGUUGAACCACAAACUUGAUUCCUACUUCUGUAAAAAUAAAUCAGAAUUAAAAUGAUUAAGAUAUGGAAUUGAGCCUCCAUGAGGUUUCAGCAGGCAUCCAUAACCUACAGGGUUAUGACAGUCAUAUUUUCUGAAUCCCAAAUCAGGACAUGGGACCAUGGAAAUAGAGAAGACCAUCAAGCAGAACGUUUGACUUCAGUUCUGUCGUGAAGAUUCUGGGUUUUCAAUCCUUCUAACUACAGUACUAGAUGACAAAGAUGAUUUAUUGCACAUUAAGCACUCAUGAGUGCUCUAUUAACCUCAUUCCUUGGAAUGAUUGUUUUAAAACAACUUUCCAUUUUUGCUAUUAAAAUACCUACUACUUGGGAGACUGAGGCAGGAGAAUCACUUG
rnacentral:lncRNA from 1 species